rnacentral:lncRNA from 1 species
AAAGAAUUAGCAAAUUUUCAUAGAAUUAAUUUAGUUUAGUUAAUUUAUUCACUUAAUUAACAAUAUUUUCCCAAAAUUUUCAAUUUUUUUUAUAUUUUCAUUCGUAAUUAAUUAGUACAUUUUUUAAAUCUUGAAUGAAUUAGUAUAUUUUUAUAGAAUUAAUUUAGUUUAGUUAAUUUAUUAACUUAAUUAACAAUAUUAGUAGCUUCCCAAUUUU